rnacentral:rRNA from 1 species
UGGGGAAUAUUGCACAAUGGGCGCAAGCCUGAUGCAGCCAUGCCGCGUGUGUGAAGAAGGCCUUCGGGUUGUAAAGCACUUUCAGCGGGGAGGAAGGCGAUAAGGUUAAUAACCUUGUCGAUUGACGUUACCGACAGAAGAAGCACCGGCUAACUCCGUGCCAGCAGCCGCGGUAAUACGGAGGGUGCAAGCGUUAAUCGGAAUUACUGGGCGUAAAGCGCACGCAGGCGGUUGAUUGAGUCAGAUGUGAAAUCCCCGGGCUUAACCCGGGAAUUGCAUCUGAUACUGGUCAGCUAGAGUCUUGUAGAGGGGGGUAGAAUUCCAUGUGUAGCGGUGAAAUGCGUAGAGAUGUGGAGGAAUACCGGUGGCGAAGGCGGCCCCCUGGACAAAGACUAACGCUCAGGUGCGAAAGCGUGGGGAGCAAACAGG